rnacentral:rRNA from 1 species
UACGGAGGGGGUUAGCGUUGUUCGGAAUUACUGGGCGUAAAGCGCACGUAGGCGGGCUGUUAAGUCGGGGGUGAAAUCCCGGGGCUCAACCCCGGAACUGCCUUCGAUACUGGCAGCCUUGAGUUCGAGAGAGGUGAGUGGAAUUCCGAGUGUAGAGGUGAAAUUCGUAGAUAUUCGGAAGAACACCAGUGGCGAAGGCGGCUCACUGGCGCAUUUCUGACGCUGAGGUGCGAAAGCGUGGGGAGAAAACAGG